rnacentral:lncRNA from 1 species
CCACGUAUUCACGAAGCCACGCAGUGACGUCGCCACGCACGUACGCACGCACUUGCCACAAGGAGACGCUGUUCAGUUUACCGGAUCCUGUCCCGCGCCAGCCAACCAGGACAAGGCCGGGGAGCUCGAGACAGGCAGCCUAGACCAAGAACCGGAAGGAGGAAAAGGAACCGGAGGGAGGAAGAGGAGGGGCGGGACGAGACCACCAGGCAAGAGUCCAAACUUUCCCGCGGCGACCUAACUGCACCUCCAGUGUCUUCCCCCAGAGGGCACAGAAGCAGCAAGAAGGGCGGGAACACUUGACUGGGGUCCAUGCAGCUCUAGGCUGAGUCUUGCAGGGCUGAGCCCCCCAGGCCUGCUCUCCUGUGUCCUGGCCGCUCCGUCAGUGCCUGCCAGUGGGGUCCAGAGGGACCGUUUUUUUAACGCCUCUUUUGCAGUGAGAUGCGCCUACUUCUCCCUGGAGAAGCUUGAGGAAGCAGAAAUGCUGGAGAUGAGAGACCUCGUCCGCACAGGGGCUUGUUCUUCUGUGUCUUUGCAGGGCUGUUUUGGACUCAGUAUUCACCUAAGCACUCCAAAUUACCCAGCACACCCUGCCUGCAUGGCGCUGCGCUGCACCUUCACUCUGGUCACGGGUCUGGCAGUCAGCUCACCAAUUCCUCCUGCUUCCCUGGGACUUGCCGGCUUUUAGCACUGCAAUUCACUCAGCAAACUGGGACUGUUGGUCACCCUACCUGGCAGCCAGUGAUAAGGUGAGGGCCACUCCUGGGAGGGAGGACACCUGUGGGGAAAAUUCUUGUGUUAUUUAUUUCUCCUUCGGGAUAGGGUGCCUGCAGCGCUUCAUGGGAGGGGGUGGGCUGAUGCUGCGGGCUCAGAAGUUUCAAGGGCAUCUGGGGAGACCAGAUAUUCAGAGACCUUCUAGAUGUGCCUGUUCCAUGUAUCAGGGACGCAGGUUUUCCCAACAGGGCUGGUGUCAUUGGCAUGACAGACCUGCCUUGGCUGAGCGUUCACCUGUCUUUGGAGUUCAGCCACCUUAGCAAGUCCUGGGUUUGUUCUUCAGACUUUGCUGCUCGCCCAUUGCCUGGAUCGGGGGCUACUUUGUAAACCACCAGGAAGACUCCAGUGUUUCUGGUUAAUUUUUAGAUGUUUGUUAAUUGCUCUUGGUCUCUCAUUAAUCCCCUGUGGGUCAUCCAGGAAACAUACUCACCACUGUCUGUUCUCUGAGUUUUCAUUUCCAGGCAUCCGCCCUGCCUGGAUCUCCUCACCUGCCAGGAACUUCCUCUCCACAAGCCGGCCAUCCCAGCAAAAGUUCUAACACCAAAGGUCUGGCAACUAGCCUGCCAUCUUGUGCCUGGAGCCGCCUGCGUGCCACCUACUCCCGAAGAUGGGAACCUUGUUGCCAGUUGGGCAGAUGCGGGGCAAUCCUGUACCAAGACCCCAUUUUACCACCUGCUUUCUCAGACCACUCUGGAACCCACUGUCUCAGAUUGUGUCCUCCAGGAAGCAGACCAUGAGAGGGAGUUGGCAGGGCCAAAGAUUUACUGGGGCUAACUAACACUCAGGAAAGGGAUAGGAAGGAAACAGGGCUGGAGAGCAGGUUGAGCCCGACCUGACAGUCUCGAGCAGCCCAACAGGGAGGUGUGGAGCAAGGGUUGCCCACUAGAGGGGCCUGCAUUGGGUACGGGUGAUGGGGUCCACAUGGUACCUGGCAUAUAGCAGGCUGUGCAAUCCAUAUUAACUGACUGGAUAAAUUAAUGCCCAGAAAAGGUGCCCUGGAGAAUGGGUGUGUGCUGAACACAAUAGGGAAGGGCCCAGCAUCUGCCUUGGCAUAGGCAGAACUGUGCUGUGCCCUGCAACAGGCCACCUGAGAGCUGCUUUGAUCUUGUGUGUACAUUAGAUGACUGCCAGGGGCAUGAAGGGGAUGUGCUUCCAGGGCAUUUGCUGGCAGGGCGUCUCGUGAUCUCUUGGUAUUGGUGUGAGCACAGCCUGGCAGGAGAGGGCAGAUCUCCAUGCAAAGUAUGUCAGAAAGCAGAUGGAAGCCAGGCCCCCUCCUGAAAGAGGCUCCUUGAAGGCUCCUGGGACCACAUUAUCAUUCUCUUCACUCGAGAGAUGAGGACACUGAAAUUCAGAGAGGGGAAGUGAUUUGCCUCAGCUUGUACUAAAGAAACAUUUCAACAGAGAACCCAGUGGAAAUUAUGACAUGUUAUCUUCUCAGAGUCCUGAACUCCCAUCCCUACCUCAGAAGAGACUCCUCUGUUCACAGAAGCUAAAGGCAGUUCCUUCCCAAUGGCAACUAUGUUUGGAUGUUGGAUCUACACUUUCUCAAGCACUGUGAUCUUCAAAUACUGCCAUCCAGGGCCAUGCAGCAAACAAGCAACAGGGAAAUAUCCCACUAUGCAAUCCUAUUUUGAGAUGAUAUUUAGGAUGAGAGAACAUGCAUUAGUUACCUACCAGCUUGACAGGAAUGGAUUUCCAAAUCUGACACACCAUAGCCUGAAUUCUCACCAGUUUGCUCCUGGAAAGGCCCGCUCAUGCAUGAGCCCCUGCCACUCUUCUAAAUAAGCUUCCAGGCAUUACCUGCAUGCUGUGUUCCUGUGGUGGGAUGGCAGUAAUCUCUGCUAAGAUAAACGGGAGCUUCUGUGGAUAAAGCAUAAACGCAGUGAAGUGUGUGUGGCUGGAAGAUUUAAUGCCUCUACAGUGCUUAGAUACAAGUUGAGCUUGGAAUUCCAGAGGUAGAGCACUGCUGAUUGGAGACAUAUUAAGUAAAAUGUACUGUGGAAAUGAGAUAAAACCUUUAUUCUUGCUAAUGAUUGUCAUUGUAUGUAUUCAGGUGUCCAACAAAGGAUUUUAGAAUAAAGUGUGCCUUUAAAGUUU